UAAGAAUUUAACACAAUUGUAUUGGGCCUUCAGAUUUUAACAAAAAAUGAUGGGCCUUAAUAAUUUUAUCUGAUCCAACAAGAGAAAUCAAAACAACCUAACACUCUAUCCCUAACACUAUCUCUUUGACCUCACUCCGCCGUCUGAAAUCGCUUUAGACAUUCAACCUUCACUCCGCUUCAACUUUCACUCCGAUUCUAUUCUCUUCUCUGCAUCGAGACAUUCUCUUGCAAGUCAGUUCAAUCUGCUAAUUCUCAAGGUCUCGACUUCAACGACCGAUCGAAUCGAAGACAUGGCAAAUCGGAACCAAUCUAGUCAAAGGAUGAGAGAAGAGUUCUCAUGGCCUCCUGUACCACCUCUGCAAUUAUCACCUCAAGCGCGCCAAGAAUUUCUGCAACACCUUGGAUGAAGGAUGAUCGUCUUCCUCAGGUACUCCACGUCAAAUUCCUUAGCUUCGAGAAGAGAUUCAAACGUUGAAGGCACGAGAAGUAGAGAAAGACGCUCAAAUCCAGUAUCUCAUGGAGUGCAACAAGCUUCUCCUCGGACGGUUUCCAGAUUUGCGUCCACCUACUUAUCCGAGGGAUCCGAGACCACGUACGACUUCGGCCGAUCCGAGUUUGACUCCAACACUCCUAGAAGAUGACGACGAUGAAACCCAAGAGUAAUUUAUUUCUCCUACUUUUAACAACUUGAACAUUUGUAUGAUUUUUAUGUUUGUUUUUACAUUUGGUUUGUAUCAACAUUUGAGAAUUUUAUAUAUAUAAGUAAUGUUAUUUGCAAUAUUUUAAUU